UACAGAGGGUGCGAGCGUUAAUCGGAAUUACUGGGCGUAAAGCGUGCGUAGACGGUUAUUUAAGUCGGAUGUGAAAGCCCCGGGCUCAACCUGGGAAUUGCAUUCGAGACUGAAUAGCUAGGGUGCGGUAGAGGGAAGCGGAAUUUCCGGUGUAGCGGUGAAAUGCGUAGAUAUCGGGAGGAACACCUGUGGCGAAAGCGGCGCACUGGACCACAACUGACGCUGAGGCGCGAAAGCUAGGGGAGCAAACAGG
rnacentral:rRNA from 1 species